CAUUGAACGAUGACAAAUUGUGAUUCACUUGUAGCAUAAAUUAUAAAAUACAUACACUGUAUAAAUAAGUCCUGAGAUGGAGAGGGGAAAAGAACUUCUGCCACAUCUGGGCCCACGAGAAUCAUGAGUGCAGGUGCCUGUUUCUAGAUGGAAGAGCAACUAGGUUAUCCAAAAUGGAUGCUGAGCAGAUUUUUAAAAUUCUCUGGGAAAAAGAAGAUCACAAUUCCUCCUAGUAACUAAUUUAUAUCUUUAGUUACUCUUUCUAGCCAUUAAGCCCCAUGCUAAAACUACCCUAAAUCUCUCCUGUUCUAAACUGGCCUUGGUGGUUGCGGGUGGGCAAAUUGUUUUUUCAUUAUUGAAAAAUAUAAAUCCUUCAUAUAUUUGCACAGAGUUAUUCUUAUACUAAGCUCAGAAUGGAAACCAGGCAGUUCUCCUCUCCCUUCCAGAAUGAGAAUUCUCCACCUCUCCAUCCAAGUUACAGAAAGAAAGAAACAUUUUGAGGCUCUGGCAUCAUGUUUUCCUGUUUUCAUGGGGUCAGCUAUAGACUCAGUGAAGAGUUUACAUGUUCACGUCUUUAAAAAAACACUCAAAGGGUUAAAAACUGGAGGUUUGACAUUUCCAUAAUAAGUGUUCUAAAUGCUUGUAUUGAUAUAUAUUUUGUUCUAGAAUAAACUCAGGUACAAAAUAUAAUAUUUGUAAGUUGUUCUGCCAGCCAAACUGUUCUCCUUCAUUUAUAAAUGAAGUUGCUAAGUGUUCAACAACUGAUUGCCAUAAAUGAAUGGGGUAUGACAUCCUUCCAAGUCUCCAAAGAGUUGCUACAACUUGGUUUUCCCCUUGGGAGAAAAAAAAAGUUAUUGUUCUAAUUGAUUUUUUCUGUUCUGAAUAGAAAAAAAUAAAUUAGAUCCUUCCUUCCUUCCUUCCUCCCUCCCUCCUUCUUUCCUUCUUUCUUUCUUUUCUUUCUUUCUUUCUCUUUCUUUUUUCUUUUCUUUUUUUUCUUUCUGUUUUCCUAUUUCUGCAUUCCUACAGGAAGAGAGAAGGAAUAUUGUGCUUUUCAUCAACCACAGCAAGAGUCAUUUGAGUUUGAAACACAGCUAGUUUUUAAGGAAACUAUACCAUGGUCUUCUGGAAUGGGAAAAGCUUUUUCUUUCAAGGGACAAAAGACAAAGGAAAAGGAAACUCAGAUAUUUCCUUUCUUAAGCUA
rnacentral:lncRNA from 10 species